GGGGGUGAUAUUUGCAUGUAUCAUCAUGCAAUUCCUCCUGGGUUUGUGUUGAAAAAAGAUAAAAAGAAAGAAGAAAAAGGAGAUGAAAUUUCAUUAGAAGAUCUCAUUGAAAGACAGCGUUCUGCCCUAGGUCCAACAGUGAAAUUGAAAUGUUACCAAUAUCACUCUAGAAUCUUUUCUUGCAUGGAAGGAAAGGAGAAGACAUGAGAAAAUUGAUAAACAUGGAACGAAGGAAAGCGGACUUCAAAGCAGGGAAAGCAUUAGUGAUCAGCGGCCAAGAAGUGUUUGAAUUUCGUCCUGAGCUGGUCGAUGAUGAUGAGGAAGUGGAUGACACCCGGUAUACCCAGGUGGUGAUGAGGUUGAUGAUUCAGUAAGUGUAAAUGACAUAGAUUUAAGUUUAUAUAUCCCAAGGUAUAUGGAUGAAACAGGUAUUACUGUAGCCAGUCUUGAAAGAUUCAGCACAUAUGCUUCAGAUAUAGAUGAAAAUAAAUUAAGUGAAGCUUCUGGAGGUAGGGCUGAAAAUGGCGAAAGAAGCGACUUGGAAGAGGACAAUGAAGCUGAGGGACAGGAGAAUGGAGCCAUUGAUGCCGUUCCUGUUGAUGAAAAUCUUUUUACUGAGGAAGAUUUGGAUGAACUAGAAGAAGAAUUAAACACACUUGAUUUAGAAGAAUGACAUCAAACAAGCCACUGAAAAAGAUAAGUCAACUGAGCAGGAGUUGAAAUUGACAUUAAUUUUUUUCUGCCUAGAAUGAACAGGAUGUUUAUUUCCUAUGCUGAUUCUGGAGAGAUUAGCCUCCUCCCCCCAAAAAGGAAUAUUUUCCUUACAUCUUCUCUUCACUUUGGCUACAUCUCAUAGUAAGUUCAGAGUAGUUCACGAUAAACUGAAAAUACAAUGGUUAUUCAGAAAAUGAUUGAUUGUUGUAAAUGUCCACUCAAGUAGGAAGUAUAACUGCUUUUCCAGCCUUUGGUUUUCAUUGGGCAUGUGUUACUACCAGAAACAACAUAAAUUUACAUUUAAAAUACCCUUUAUUUGACAUAGUUUUUAAUGAGUGAUUUAAUUUCCUUUGUAUUUAUAUGUUUAAAAGAAGAGCAGUGUACUUCAUAAAAGGAAACUGCAUAUGUAGAUUCAGUGUUGUGUGUCUUUGGGCAAUUAGAUGGACCAUUAAAAUGGAAUUUCUUUUAUCUGACAGAAUCAGCUACAAUGCCCUGUGUUAAACCGUUUAAAAGUUUUCCCUCUUUUUUUGCCAAUAAAGUUGUAAAUAAAGAUCAUAAUACAUUAAAA